UCAUUGGGGGCCUGAUCCAAAGCCCACUGAAGUCAGUGGAAGUUUUUCUGCUGGCUUCAGUGGGCUUUGGAUUAAAUCCUUGGGGU
rnacentral:pre_miRNA from 1 species